CCCUUAGAUGUUCUGGGCCGCACGCGUGCUACACUGAGUGGAUCAGCGGGUCAGGUUGCGCGAAAGCGUUUCCUAAUCUUGAAAUCUGCUCGUGAUGGGGAUUGACGGUUGCAAUUUUCUGUCAUGAACGAGGAAUACCUUGUAAGCGCGAGUCAUCAUCCCGCGCUGAAUACGUCCCUGCCCUUUGUACACACCGCCCGUCGCUCCUACCGAUUGAGUGGUCCGGUGAGGCUUUGGGAUCUGAGCGGAAAGAGCGUUUCGCUCGUUCUGCCCGGAAAACUCAGUCGAACCUUAUCAUUUAGAGGAAGGAGAAGUCGUAACA
rnacentral:rRNA from 1 species